rnacentral:ncRNA from 1 species
AAAAAAGCGUUGACGGAGAAGAGUAGCUUGCAGAUGACCAUCAAGGGAGAAAAUGCCGCAGACUGGAAGCAUUUUUAUGGAACAGGCAAGUGAAUUCACCUCCAGAGCUGGCAUCGGGACCAUUCCUGGGAAUGUAAAGAUGCACCGGCCUAUGCCGUUAUCGUAAUGAAGUGAACAGACCAUACAUAUUUGUAUUGCCUGUUAAAAAGGGUGGUACCGCGAAACCAGACUUCGUCCCUUUA